GGUAACAUUUCUAGCUUGCUAGAAGAUGACGAGCGGCGGACGGGUGAGUAAUGCUUGGGAAUAUGCCUUAGGGUGGGGGACAACAGUUGGAAACGACUGCUAAUACCGCAUAACGUCUACGGACCAAAGGGGGCUUCGGCUCUCGCCCUUAGAUUAGCCCAAGUGGGAUUAGCUAGUUGGUGAGGUAAUGGCUCACCAAGGCGACGAUCCCUAGCUGGUUUGAGAGGAUGAUCAGCCACACUGGAACUGAGACACGGUCCAGACUCCUACGGGAGGCAGCAGUGGGGAAUAUUGCACAAUGGGCGCAAGCCUGAUGCAGCCAUGCCGCGUGUGUGAAGAAGGCCUUAGGGUUGUAAAGCACUUUCAGUAAGGAGGAAAGGUUAGUAGUUAAUACCUGCUAGCUGUGACGUUACUUACAGAAGAAGCACCGGCUAACUCCGUGCCAGCAGCCGCGGUAAUACGGAGGGUGCGAGCGUUAAUCGGAAUUACUGGGCGUAAAGCGUACGCAGGCGGUUUGUUAAGCGAGAUGUGAAAGCCCCGGGCUCAACCUGGGAACUGCAUUUCGAACUGGCAAACUAGAGUAUGAUAGAGGGUGGUAGAAUUUCAGGUGUAGCGGUGAAAUGCGUAGAGAUCUGAAGGAAUACCGAUGGCGAAGGCAGCCACCUGGGUCAAUACUGACGCUCAUGUACGAAAGCGUGGGGAGCAAACGGGAUUAGAUACCCCGGUAGUCCACGCCGUAAACGAUGUCUACUAGGAGCUGGGGUCUUCGGACAACUUUUCCAAAGCUAACGCAUUAAGUAGACCGCCUGGGGAGUACGGCCGCAAGGUUAAAACUCAAAUGAAUUGACGGGGCC
rnacentral:rRNA from 1 species